rnacentral:lncRNA from 1 species
AGACACUAUUCCAGAUGCUGGGUGAACACACUCAACAAAAGAGCUCUCAGAGGACUGGGAUGGGGCUCAACCAAUUCAGAACUAUCACCUGCUCACUCACCCUCCAGAAAUCAUCGAUGCAGAUACCUGGUUGCAGGCCUCUGGCUGCAGGAACCAUAUGUGCUGCUGGAUGGGGUAGUGCAGCACAGGGACGUGGGAAGACCCACUGUCCCCAGAGGCCUUCCCGACCAGAGUGCAGAGCGCCUGUGUCUCCACAUGACUCAGCAAUGACUGUGGCCUGAGAAUGCCUGGCUGCACAGAAACAUCAAUCUGGGAUUUAAAAAUAAACAGGCUGGGUGCAGUGGCUCAUGCCUGUAAUCCCAGCACUUUGGGAGGCCAAGGCAGGUGGAUCACCUGAGGUCGGGAGUUCCAGACCAGCCUGACCAACAUGGAGAAACUCCAUCUCUACUAAAAAUACAAAAAUUAGCCGGGCAUAGUGGUGCAUGCCUGUAAUCCCAGAUACUCGGGAGGCUGAGGGCAGGAGAAACGCUUGAACGUGGGAGGCAAAGGUUGAGGUGAGCUGAGAUUGCACCAUUGCAUUCCAGCCUGGGCAACAAGAAUGAAACUCCGUCUCAAAAAUAACGGUAAUAAUAAUAAUAAUAAACAAAUAAACCAUUCAUACUGUAGUCCAGAUAUUCUUUCCAAUCAGCCCUGCUACAAGAUCUUGUGUUGGAAGCAAUUUUCAAGCUUUUCCUCAUGGAAGGAAAAAAGGACUUACUUAUAUUUUUAGCCUCUAAACAGUCACUUUGCACUUGAAACCUGUAAACUUAUUUGCUAUACUUUAUUUUUGAAUAUUUUGAUGGCUGUCUCUGCCAUAGCCACUCAACUGUGGUCUUCACACGUCUGUCAUAAAUGAACCCAUAUAUACAUUAGGUCUGAUACAAAACCAAAAUAUGUUAUUAAGGGUUUGGGCAGAUAUAUAAAAAGUUGAACACAUUUUAGUUUACUGCUGUUCUUAAAGUGAUUACCAACUGCGGACCAUUCUUGUACUUAUGAAAUAAAAUAUAAGCAUGCCUGCUAACAAUUCCAAUUUUAGUACCUUAGCUAGAAAUGGGUUUUGAAUCAGUUCUAAUGUUUAUAUUCAUGUUACAAUUAUGACCAAAUUAUACUAUUACUUUUAAAGAUUUUGGAACUGUUGUUUAAAUUUCUGGUUUGCUAUUUAGGUAUGUUAAAAAUGCAAAUUGUUUACAUAGUUCAAAUCCCUAAUCUAAGGCCACAGGAAAUAUAAUACCUCAAAAACAAAAAACUAAACCAACAAAACUUAUGAGAUCCAUCCAUUAAUCCUUCUGCUUGUUUAACAAAUACUAAGAAUCAGGCAUUGUUAGACAUUUAAGGAGAUAAGCCAU